ACGCGUACACAAUCUACCUUUAAGAGGGGAAUAGCCCUGGGAAACUGGGAUUAAUGCCCCAUGGCAUCACGAGACGGCAUCGUUUUGUGAUUAAAGCUGAGGUGCUUAGAGAUGAGUGUGCGUCUGAUUAGCUAGUUGGUGCGGUAACGGCGCACCAAGGCGACGAUCAGUAGGGGGCUGAGAGCGUGGACCCCCCANACGGGUACUGAGACACGGACCCGACUCCUACGGGAGGCAGCAGUAAGGAAUAUUGGUCAAUGGAGGAAACUCUGAACCAGCCAUCCCGCGUGCUUGAUGAAGGCCCUCUGGGUUGUAAAGAGCUUUAGUCUGGGGAAGAAACCGUUUUUCUGCGGAAGACGCUGACGGUACCAGAAGAAUAAGCACCGGCUAACUCCGUG
rnacentral:rRNA from 1 species